rnacentral:rRNA from 1 species
UACGUAGGGGGCAAGCGUUGUCCGGAAUUAUUGGGCGUAAAGCGCGCGCAGGCGGUCAUUUAAGUCUGGUGUUUAAGCCCGGGGCUCAACCCCGGUUCGCAUCGGAAACUGGAUGACUUGAGUGUAGGAGAGGAAAGUGGAAUUCCACGUGUAGCGGUGAAAUGCGUAGAUAUCUGGAGGAACACCGGUGGCGAAAGCGGCGCGCUGGAUCUCUUCUGACGCUGAGGCGCGAAAGCCAGGGGAGCAAACGGG